ACACGACUACAUUAGAUACCCCCGUAGUCCCAGCCGUAAACUAUGCUCGCUAGGUGUCAGGGACGGUGCGACCGUUUCUGGUGCCGCAGGGAAGCCGUGAAGCGAGCCACCUGGGAAGUACGGUCGCAAGGCUGAAACUUAAAGGAAUUGGCGGGGGAGCACCACAACGGGUGGAGCUUGCGGUUUAAUUGGAUUCAACGCCGGAAAUCUUACCGGGACCGACAGCAACAUGAAGGCCAAGCUGAAGACUUUGCCGGAUUAGCUG
rnacentral:rRNA from 1 species